rnacentral:lncRNA from 1 species
UUUAGACCCCCAAAUUCACAUUCUCUCCAAAAUUCCUCCGCGAACUCUCUCAAGGGUUUCAAAAUAAAAAUCCUAAUAACUCAAGAUUCAAUCAUGAAUUUUCAAAAUUGAUUAGAGAUUCGGAAUUCCCAAUCCGCAAGCUUCAAGAAUCAUCCAUUAUUCUUCGUAAUCGAGGUACACGGGGUUUUCCUAAAAUCUCAUGGGCAUAAAAAUCAUGUUUUAAGAAUGGGGUUUUGAAAUUUAUGAACAUAAUCAUGUUUUAGAAGUUUUGACGGUAGUGUUUUGGUCUUUAGACCUUUCCCCCAAAUUGAUUUGAAAUUAUGUAUAUAUGUAUAUAUGUGUUCAAGAAUGAUUAUUGAACUGAGAGCAUGAUUUACAUGAAACCCUUCUCUUGAUGUAGUUUUUCUCAUGUUUCACAUGAUAUGGAUUGUUUUGAAAUACAUCUUGAAAAGCAUGUUAGGAAAUAUCGUAAUUUAUGAAUGACUUGGUUAUGAAUCUUGAUUUCAAAAGAAAGGGUUGUUUGUAUUGACAAAUGCUGAAUAUCCAUAUAAUGAAAGAGUGCACGAUUUUGCCAAAAGCACAUGACCACCAUAUGUUUUGAAGAGUUUUUGCAUGAGUUUUGUUUUAUGUUUCAGAACAUGAAAUCUUUUAUAUUAUUUAGAUGUGGGUGGUCUGAACUAUGUCUUUAUGAAAGAUCUUGCUAAAUGCAUUAUGGCACAGAAAACACAACUUGCAAGUCUUGUUAUGACGAUACCAAUUCAGACAAUGCCAUAACAGACACAGACAAAUACAGAUUUCAGACUUUAUCAGAUUUUUAUGUUUUAGAACUUCAGAAUGAUGCAUGUUCAGAAAAGGCUAAAAUAGGGCAUAAGGAGAUAUUAGGUGGUUCCCCGAAGAAGGCAUGAGUUCAGACAACUCAUUUCCCAAAACCGUGAUUUGCUGAUUCGGGUUUAUAUAUUACGCUGGCCUAGAAUCGUGUGGCAUAUCAAAAUCAGAGACUCCAACUCUUACGGCACACUCGGGUUAGGGGUUUUCCCGCCGAGUCAAUGGCGGAUUCCAUAUAGCCCGUGGAAUAUCAGACUUGUAGGGGAGCGCCACCUAACUCAGAAGUAAUACAAAGAUCAGAAACUGUUUUGACAAGAAUGUUCAAAAUGAUGCCCAUGUGUUUUUGGAAACUAUUUUAUACAUGAUGUUUUGUUAAAUUGCUCUCAUCUACUUUACACAUAUACAAAUACACUAUUUUGGAUUGCUUCGCGUGCCAGUACUUUUGUGCUGACCCUUCCUCCUUUCAGAUUUUGGGACACAGUCUAGGGGUCAAGAUAAACAGUAGAUAUUUCAGAUCACAGAUCAGGUUGUACAGUGGUGAGCCUUCUAUGAUCCAGAAGGCCUGUUUAUUUUCAGAUAUAUAUCUUUAGUCAUGUUUUGAUCUACUGGGGGCCUUGUCCCAAUUUUCAAAUUAUUAGUGAUCAUGUAUUUGAGAUUUUGCAGACGAUUUUUCAAAUGUUGAUAGAUGUUGCGGGACUUUAAUUCCCAUUAUUGAUUUUAUUAGACUAAUAACCAUGUUUCAGUAGUAUUGUGUGUUUUUCGCAUUAUCUUUUAUCAUAUGAAUUAUGUGCAUGAUUACCAGAUAGAUAGGUUUGUUUUAUCAAAGCCUCAUAGUUGACUUGUUCCAUUAAGUUUUCAGCGCCGUGCACAGCAUCUCGAAGUUCAUUAAGCCACUGGCUCACAUGUUGAUUUGAUGCCUGCUUAUUCUCUGCGUCACUUAACACAGCCUGAAGGCCAACCAAAGUCAUUUUCAGCUUCUUUAAGAGUCGAACAUCAUGCUUAUUCUUCUGAAACAUGUUGAGCAGAUCACCCUGAGGAGCAAGCCUAUCAAAGAGAACAUUCAAAGCUGAAGAGAGAAAUGCACCACCAACUGCUAAGCCAAUCUCCAUUUCUGAAAUCUACAAAGCAAAACAAGGAACCACAAAAAUGAUUUUAAGUAUUUUGAGAAGAUAAAUGUUUCUAUCUUCAAAUCAAAUAUUAACAACUUUAUUUUACCUGUUGAAUGUUAAGAGUAAUUUGCAAA